UAUCGGGUCGGCGGUUAGCUUAAAUGUAGCAGCCACAUGUCUGACCACGCAACACCAAACUGAACAAAAACGACACGAGAUUGUUCUUUAAUGUACUGUGGUGCUCUGGUGAUACCAUCAUGUUGAUCAAAACAUUCCUGUCAUCCAGCACCAACCAAGAUCUUUGCCACUGUGAUAAGAUGUGAGCUUUACAUGUUUUAGGUUUACUUUUGAUGCCAAUAUUUCAUGUUUACUUGGAAUAAAUAUGUAUUACAGUAUGGAUACAAUUGUCUGUGUGUUUUUCCCCCUGCAUAGAUAUGCAACACUGGUAGGAG
ensembl:lncRNA